rnacentral:lncRNA from 1 species
UUUGAAUUAGAGCUUGCUGAAGCAUUUAUUAUAGAAUUUAUAAAUGUGCCCUGUAAUUGGGAUAAAAACUCUUGACUUAAUUAAUCUGACAGAAGAACAUUUUGAGCAAUGUUGUAAUGUGAUUGUGCAUUGCUGAGAUAAUCUCAUCUUGUUUUGGUAUUCUAACCAAUAAAAAAAAAUUUAAGUGUUGGACUCCCCUUCGGCUUCACAUGGCAAGCCCUAAUUUCUUAAUCCAAACCUAAUCACACACAAAUACACAAUCACGCUGCCUACAAUAGAUUUGGUCAUCUGCUGUGCUGCUUGCCGACAACAAAUUGCUGCUCUUCGUCUUCGUCUUCGUCUUCGUCCUCAUCCCCGAUCUCUAGCUUGCUGGCUAUUCCCAUUUCCUUUUGUUUCGCAACUUAAUGGUUGUUGCCGGUAGCCUGCUACCUUCUUCAACUCCGAGCUAUAGCUAAUGCCUUCUUAAUUUAGAUUUUCUUCAAGUUCGAGUUGCUGCUACUGUAUUCUUUUGUGAGAGGUAAGCUGAUGGGUUCUUUCAUUUGUACACUAGGGUUUGGGGUUCUCUGAUCAGAAUAUAUCGGCUGGUCUGGUGAUUGCUCAACCGCCGUCGAUUUUUGAGGUGCCGCCCAGGUUGAGCCCCGCAAUUCUGCUUGACUCGCUAAAUUUCAGUUUGUUUUCGCCUACACAGGUAAUUCAAUUUAACUUUGUCUGACCUAAAGUUUCUUCAUUUAUUCAUUAGAUUUUAGCUUGUUUAGGAAAGCUUUCAUUUUUAUUGGGUUUCGCAUUUAAAUGCUAAUAAUCCUUGGGUUUGAAUUUUGAUUUUUUUUUUUUUGGAGGGAUGGAAAAUUUUCUUCAUUGCCUUGAUUUGUUAGCAGUCGGUUGGAAUUUUGAAUUAGAGCUUGCUGAAGCAUUUAUUAUAGAAUUUAUAAAUGUGCCCUGUAAUUGGGAUAAAAACUCUUGACUUAAUUAAUCUGACAGAAGAACAUUUUGAGCAAUGUUGUAAUGUGAUUGUGCAUUGCUGAGAUAAUCUCAUCUUGUUUUGGUAUUCUAAGUAUCCAAAUGGACUGGAUAGUAGGCUAUCCAGGUCAAGUUUUAAUGGUAAUUGGGCAUUUUUCUUUCCUGAUUUUAGUUUCAUCUCUUUUUAGAUGAAGCAUAUGGUUAAUGCAAACAAUUAACGAAAGAAAAGCUCUUGGUAUUACUAGUGUUGGAGAUCCAAUUGUCUUCAUGUAAACUGUGAACACUUUUAACUCCCAUAUCUAAGAUAUAGAGAUCUUUAUGUAGCUUUAAGCCAAAUAUGUGAGAAAUUCUCCAAUCUAGUCACAACUUUAUUAGCAACCAAGAAUGAAAGAGUAUUAGCUUCCAGUUAUAAUUUGAUGACCGGAGCUUGAAUGAGUGAGUGAUAACUUGUAUUGUCUAUAUUGCUUUGUAUGUCAUGCCUCACUGGCAUUAUGUUACUUGGGUAUCCAAAUUUUGCGUUUAUCUAUUACUAAUUUCCCUGAUUCAUUGGAUGCAACCUAGGGAGCCUUUAGAAUGAAGCACUAGCAGGCCCUAGCACAGGUCACUGCCCAAGCUG